rnacentral:rRNA from 1 species
UGGGGAAUAUUGGACAAUGGGCGAAAGCCUGAUCCAGCCAUGCCGCGUGUGUGAAGAAGGUCUUCGGAUUGUAAAGCACUUUAAGUUGGGAGGAAGGGCAGUAAGCGAAUACCUUGCUGUUUUGACGUUACCGACAGAAUAAGCACCGGCUAACUCUGUGCCAGCAGCCGCGGUAAUACAGAGGGUGCAAGCGUUAAUCGGAAUUACUGGGCGUAAAGCGCGCGUAGGUGGUUCGUUAAGUUGAAUGUGAAAGCCCCGGGCUCAACCUGGGAACUGCAUCCAAAACUGGCGAGCUAGAGUAGGGCAGAGGGUGGUGGAAAUUCCUGUGUAGCGGUGAAAUGCGUAGAUAUAGGAAGGAACACCAGUGGCGAAGGCGACCACCUGGGCUCAUACUGACACUGAGGUGCGAAAGCGUGGGGAGCAAACAGG